AUUGAACGCUGGCGGCAGGCCUAACACAUGCAAGUCGAGCGGAUGAAGGGAGCUUGCUCCUGGAUUCAGCGGCGGACGGGUGAGUAAUGCCUAGGAAUCUGCCUGGUAGCGGGGGAUAACGUCCGGAAACGGGCGCUAAUACCGCAUACGUCCUGAGGGAGAAAGUGGGGGAUCUUCGGACCUUACGCUAUCAGAUGAGCCUAGGUCGGAUUAGCUAGUUGGUGGGGUAAAGGCCUACCAAGGCGACGAUCCGUAACUGGUCUGAGAGGAUGAUCAGUCACACUGGAACUGAGACACGGUCCAGACUCCUACGGGAGGCAGCAGUGGGGAAUAUUGGACAAUGGGCGAAAGCCUGAUCCAGCCAUGCCGCGUGUGUGAAGAAGGUCUUCGGAUUGUAAAGCACUUUAAGUUGGGAGGAAGGGCAGUAAGUUAAUACCUUGCUGUUUUGACGGUACCAACAGAAUAAGCACCGGCUAACUUCGUG
rnacentral:rRNA from 1 species